UUUUUUUCCAAGUUUAAUUUUGUUUUUUAAGUUUGUCUCUUAUUUUAUUUUUUUGUCACUUUUGUCGCCCUAGUGUUGCCUUCCUUCUUUCAACUCUGUUUCUUUUUCAAAGUUUUUAUUAAUAUUUCUGACCUAUUCUUGCCAUACUUCCUUCUUUCUACCACCUCUUUCCAAGGU